GUAGUAGUUAUGUUCUUGAAACCCAAAGAAUUUGGCGGUACUUUAGUCCUUUCAGAGGAACCUGUCCCGUAAUCGAUAUUCCACGAGAAGAAUUACUUGUUUUUGCUUUCAGUUUGUAUACCUCCGUCAUCAGAGAAUCUUUUUAGAGUUAAUAAUUUUCUUGAGAUAGUGAAUAUAGUAUGUCAGGUCAAGGUGCAGCUUAUAAAUGAGUGGAGAUGGGUUACAAUAAUAAUAUUUAGACGGAUUAGGGUAUUUAUAUUAUUCUAUGAAGGUGGAUUUGAUAGUAAUAUUAAUUUUUUAUUAAUAUGAUUGUAGGCUCUAAAGUAUGCACACAUCGCCCG
rnacentral:rRNA from 1 species